rnacentral:rRNA from 1 species
GAUGAACGCUGGCGGUCUGCUUAACACAUGCAAGUCGACGGACCCUUCGGGGUUAGUGGCGGACGGGUGAGUAACGCGUGAGAAUCUGCCUUCAGGUCUGGGACAACAGAAGGAACUUCUGCUAAUCCGGGAUGAAGCCUUUUGGUAAAGAGAGAUUGCCUGGAGAUGAGCUCGCGUCUGAUUAGCUAGUUGGUGAGGUAAAAGCUUACCAAGGCGACGAUCAGUAGCCUGGUCUGAGAGGAUGAGCAGCCACACUGGGACUGAG